UAAACGUGAGGACGAGAUCAUCGGUGUCUACGUUCAAAGAGUACUCUUUUACAUCUCUGCUCUUAACCGUGAAGUCGCUUAAGAGCACAUGAGUCUGUGACGAAACCGCGAAUUUGGCAGAGCCCAUUUGGUAGGUUUGGUAGUGAUACGAACCGGACUGAUGAAGAUGGGCCAACAAUUGGGCUUCGUUUACUUUAUUUAUUUAAUUACUAUCUAGGCCUUUUACACAACUAUAUGUACUCGAAAACAUAUCUGAGAAAGGUAUCGAUUACGAUCACAAUAUCAAACUGGGUAAAUCCCCAACUUCUACCUCUAUCUCUUCUCUUCUCCCUUUGCUCUUCGUCAUUUCUCCCUCCCUUUCUGUUCUAUUCAGAUAAGCUCAAUCCUGGGCUUAUCAUUGGUAUCAGAGCUCAAGUUCCUUUGACCGUGAGUUUAAAAAAAAAAAAAUAUAUAUAUGGUUUUCAGUGAGAAGCUCGAGAAGCUACUACAAUCAUUCAAACAGAUGGAUGUGGAUCGGAAACUGCGUGAGGAGCUUCGAAUGGACAGUCAGAGACUGCAUGAGGAGUUCCGUGAGGAGUAUCAGAAGCGGCGGAAGCGACCGUAUGGUGAAUCUCAUCCUUAUGACGCUUUCAUCCCUAAAAGGUUUGAAGAUCUAAGGCUUAAUGGAGGUAGCAAGCUCAGAAGGAUUCCGAUCAAGCUAAACUACCACAGAUCUCGAUUUAAGAAACUGAAAAGUAAGUCACCUAGAAGAACUCUUGAUUCAAAGGGUUUGUUAGAUCGUACGUUUCAGAGGAGGUGUGUGGGAAUGAAGAAACAAUACCAUCAGAAGAAGAGAACAGCUCAGGUGAAGCUUGCGCAAGCUUGUAAGAGCUUGGGGAUGUUCCUAGUCUCUCCAAGUUUUAGAGAUCCAAAAGACUGUAUGAAGAUUUGUGUGGUUAAAAGGCAGAUCAUCGACACAGGAGUGAGGCCAGAGACUCAUCUCUUCUGGUAUGAGUUUACUUCCCAUGAGCCUACGGAUAUAGAUGGUCAUGUAGAUACGAGGAUAGGAGAUCAAAGUAUCUUCGCUGAGGAUGUUACAGCGCUAGAACAUGAUGAUCCUGAUGCUGCGAUGGAGUCUGUGAAGGAUGAAACAGUACUGGAGUCAGAACCAGAGGUAACGAGCAACGAUAAGAUCCGAGUUGAACUCUCUGAGGGUCAACAACAGAAGGAGCAACGAAGAUUUCACAAGGUUCGGUUCAAAGGAAGACGUCACCGGAAAGCUCUUUACACAAGACGUGUUGUGCUCCAGAAAAAGCUCUCAGUAAAUUGGUCUUAUCACAAGACUAGAAAGAAGGAGUUGAUUAAUCUGAACAUUCCCGUUAAGGCACUGAGACAGUUAAGCAAAGAAUCAGAUGGUGCAGAAGAGAUACGAUCCACCAGAUUGUUGCAAAGAUUUCAAUGGGAACCAGGCCCUGCGGUGAUGUUAAAUGAUAACAUUAAACAAGGUCAAGUUCAGUGGCUGAGGCUAACAUCACAACAAAAUGGCGAUAUCAAUUUUAGCUUGGGGAACGCUGAAACUUCAGAGCUGUGUGAAAGAGUGGACGCUUCGGUCAUAGAUAGCAAGGGUCAAUACAAAGAAAGGCACAGAGGAAAUGAGUUGUACAUCGAGGUCAAGCGUGUGGAUGUUCUUGGUCUUAAGAGAUCCCUAGCGAGUCAAAAGACAAAUUCAAGUGAUGGGGUUAAGAUCAUGGGAUCAGCUUUUGUAUCCUUCAGCCUUGAGGACAAGACUGUUCUUCUACCGGGGAGAAAGCUCAGGCUCUGUGGUGAGAAAAUAAUGGAUGGUCGCUUUGAAGGUUUAAGUAAAGAAAAGUCAGGAAGAGCUGCAGGUUUAUGGAGGCAAAUGAGGAAGGUGAUCUUUGAUGCUGCUGUGAUGCCGUUGUAUUUACGUCUGCAGAGAGAUGAAGGAUCUGAACCUAUGAUUGGUUAUGAAUGGGAUCCUGGUGGGGUUAGCAUUGAGAAGAUUCAGGAAUUCGUUUUCAAUAUAAAAUGUUGCUUGCUUGAGAUGGAACAGAGUAUGAAAAAGUGUUCUGCUAACUCAGAGUUGGAGUUGCUUACGAGAAAGGUCCAUCACAUGAAAGCGGAAGGUGCUGAUUCUAACCAUGGCAAGGGUGAUGCUCUAGUAGUAAAGCUUGAAAAGAGGCUUAGAAUGGUUCAGUGGGUGGAGCAAGGCAGGAGAGACAAUGGUGCUAGAAUUGGAACGAUGCGGAAUGAAGGGCACAUCGUACUCUCUACUUCUGAUACGAGAGCUUACUCUGAGUCAUUAUUAGAUUAUGGGAAGCACAACAAGCAGAUGAGGUGGCUCCUUGAUCACACUAUGACAGCAGUGGUACUGGACGAAGAUGCACCUGAAAAUGACACAGAUGGACGCUACUUGUUUAUCAAGUUUAUCAAUUCUGAUCCAAGAGAGAAGGUGGUGUUCUUUGUCUAUGAUUGGUUUCAAUCACCAAGACCACCAGAAAUGAAUCACGACAAGGGUGGGCUAGGUACAAUGGUUUCUGUGUCAAGGAAACGUGGUCUCAGCCAGAACAUUGGUCUUGUCUCUGUGUCUAAUUUUAAUGGCAAUGGAAUGAACAGAAAGAAGGUACAAGGACAUCCGGAAGACAUAGUUGGGGAGGAAGCUGUUUUAAAGGGUCAAAAGUUAGAGAUUGCUAUCAUCAUGAAGCUGACCAGAGGCAAUCACAAGUUGAAGAUACAAGAAGGCAACAGCAGUUCAUACAACUUGAGGACAAGUUGGAUCUUCAGGAAGGGAGUAUUGAUACGAACCGGACUGAUGAAGAUGGGCCAACAAUUGGGCUUCGUUUACUUUAUUUAUUUAAUUACUAUCUAGGCCUUUUACACAACUAUAUGUACUCGAAAACAUAUCUGAGAAAGGUAUCGAUUACGAUCACAAUAUCAAACUGGGUAAAUCCCCAACUUCUACCUCUAUCUCUUCUCUUCUCCCUUUGCUCUUCGUCAUUUCUCCCUCCCUUUCUGUUCUAUUCAGAUAAGCUCAAUCCUGGGCUUAUCAGGUAGUUGAAGGGACUGAAAUGGAGACGGACCCAGUGACGGCCACGAGCGACGGAGAAUUUGUAGCGAGCGACUCCGGUGAAGACUCUGGCCGUCUGGUAGAUGUCGGUGCUGCUGCUGCUUUGACUCGCGAGGAUCUCUUGGUUGUCAGAGGAGAGUAAGUUGGAGGCGAGCUUAUCGGACAUGAAGACUCGAUCCGUGAGGGUGGAAUUGGAGGGUGAGCCGCAGUUGAUUAAGUAGUUGUCCUGAGGCGUGAAUCCGUGGCAGCAGGUGCAGAACAAGCACGAAACCAAUACCAAAGUUACCAACUUUUCAACACCCAUCUUUGAUUCUUGACCCAACAAUACCAAAACCUGUUAAUUCAAUCAGAUAUAAAACUACGGUUUACUUUCUAAGAUCAAAGCAUAAGGUAAGGCAGAACAAAGUACCUUUCUAAGAUCAGAAAUCCACGAGAAGUAACGGUCCCAUGAAAGGAUAGACUUGAGGACCAGAGCUUAAUCAAGAACAGAUCAAGAAACUGAAAACUCAGAUUUUAAGUUUUUGAGUUUUUUUAAAUAAAAUUUCAACGUUCUCCAGCAAGGAACAGACUGGUAAUAGGACGUUUGGUUUCUUUAUGAACAACUCAGGAGUAUUACUUCCGUUAGGAAAAGAAAAGGAGAAAGAAGACGGAAGACUGAACCAAAAAAUUGUCUAUUGAUCGUAUUUUCCCUGGCUGUAUUUUUUUUAUUAAUGGUUAAGAAGAAAGAGAAAAAUAGAAUUUCCAGGAA
rnacentral:lncRNA from 1 species